AACGAACGCUGGCGGCAUGCCUAACACAUGCCAGUCGAACGAAGGCUUCGGCCUUAGUGGCGCACGGGUGCGUAACGCGUGGGAAUCUGCCCUUGGGUUCGGAAUAACAGCGGGAAACUGCUGCUAAUACCGGAUGAUGACGUAAGUCCAAAGAUUUAUCGCCCAAGGAUGAGCCCGCGUAGGAUUAGCUAGUUGGUGGGGUAAAGGCCCACCAAGGCGACGAUCCUUAGCUGGUCUGAGAGGAUGAUCAGCCACACUGGGACUGAGACACGGCCCAGACUCCUACGGGAGGCAGCAGUGGGGAAUAUUGGACAAUGGGCGAAAGCCUGAUCCAGCAAUGCCGCGUGAGUGAUGAAGGCCUUAGGGUUGUAAAGCUCUUUUACCCGGGAUGAUAAUGACAGUACCGGGAGAAUAAGCUCCGGCUAACUCCGUG
rnacentral:rRNA from 1 species